AUUGAACGCUGGCGGCAGGCCUAACACAUGCAAGUCGAGCGGAUGAAGGGAGCUUGCUCCUGGAUUCAGCGGCGGACGGGUGAGUAAUGCCUAGGAAUCUGCCUGGUAGUGGGGGAUAACGUCCGGAAACGGGCGCUAAUACCGCAUACGUCCUGAGGGAGAAAGUGGGGGAUCUUCGGACCUCACGCUAUCAGAUGAGCCUAGGUCGGAUUAGCUAGUUGGUGGGGUAAAGGCCUACCAAGGCGACGAUCCGUGACUGGUCUGAGAGGAUGAUCUGUCACACUGGAACUGAGACACGGUCCAGACUCCUACGGGAGGCAGCAGUGGGGAAUAUUGGACAAUGGGCGAAAGCCUGAUCCAGCCAUGCCGCGUGUGUGAAGAAGGUCUUCGGAUUGUAAAGCACUUUAAGUUGGGAGGAAGGGCAGUAAGUUAAUACCUUGCUGUUUUGACGUUACCAACAGAAUAAGCACCGGCUAACUUCGUG
rnacentral:rRNA from 1 species